AUUGAACGCUGGCGGCAGGCUUAACACAUGCAAGUCGAGCGAGAGGCGGACGGGUGAGUAGUGUCUGGGAAACUGCCUGAUGGAGGGGGAUAACUACGGGAAAAGGUAGAUAAUACCGCAUACCAUCAGAUGGGCCCAGAUGGGAGUAGCUAGUAGGUGGGGGAAUGGCUCACCUAGGCGACAAUCCCUAGCUGGCCUGAGAGGAUGAACAGCCACACUGGAACUGAGCCACGGCCCAGACUCCUACGGGAGGCAGCAGUGGGGAAUAUUGCACAAUGGGCGCAAGCCUGAUGCAGCCAUGCCGCGUGUGUGAAGAAGGCCUUCGGGUUGUAAAGCACUUUCAUCGAGGAGGCGUUACUCGCAGAAGAAGCACCGGCUAACUCCGUGCCAGCAGCCGCGGUAAUUC
rnacentral:rRNA from 1 species